rnacentral:rRNA from 1 species
AUUGAACGCUGGCGGCAUGCCUUACACAUGCAAGUCGAACGGCAACAUGAUCCAGCUUGCUGCUUUGCUGACGAGUGCCGGCCGGUUGGUUAUUCAUCGGAACACUCCCUGUUGUAGGGGGUUACUUACUGAAAACUUUGCUUAUUCCCCCUUCACCCCGCAGGUCAAAGUGGGGGGCCCUUCGGCCCCCUUCUCUUCGACCGUCCCCAGUUGGGAUUAGCUAGUAGGUGGGGUAACGGCUCACCUAGGCGACGAUCCGUAGCUGGUCUGAGAGGAUGACCAGCCACACUGGAACUGAGACACGGUCCAGACUCCUACGGGAGGCAGCAGUGGGGAAUAUUGGACAAUGGGCGAAAGCCUGAUGCAGCAAUGCCGCGUGUAUGAAGAAGGCCUUCGGGUUGUAAAGUACUUUUGGCGGGGAAGAAGGGAGUAAAGUUAAUACCUGUGGUCAUUGACGUUACCGGAAGAAGAAGCACCGGCUAACUCCGUG